UUGAAUCCCUAGUGGGUUCUUACAGCUGCCCCCAAACCCAGCAGGAUAAAAUUCUCCCCUUUGUUCCUCUGGACAGCCAGCAUGUUCACCCCUUGGAAUUGAGGCCAGCAGGCAAGGAAGGAUCUGGGAAGCCCACCUCCCACCCUGUGUGUGGAGUGGGGUGGGCUUAUUUAGUUUGGAGCCAGGAGAUCUCAGCUCUGGUUUACAUGAAGCCUUGGGCAAAGCUAUUCCACCUUUUGAGGUUCCCUAUCAGUAAAAUGAGACAUUUAUUAAUCCGGGCCAGAUCCUCCCUGCAGCCUUGGUAGACAUGCUGCCACUAGUUGGUGGAUUAUGAGAAUGCUCUAUGGUCUCAGGCAGGUAAUGCACUUUGCUGGGCCUCAGUUUUCUUACCUCUUAAAUGGGAGUAAUUCUCACAAGGGUGGGGCAGGACUGCAGUGGAAGAGGGGAGGGGUGGCCAAGCCACAAAACCUUGGUCACCAAUGCAACGCAAGUGUCUGCUACCAGACAUUACCAGGACUCUGCCAGUUCUGCCCUCUCUCUGUUUCCCCUGACCAGGAGAAGGCAACCAGUGACUCAAGGGAACCAGUUUCCUGGGAUUCAGAGGAGCUGGUCAGGACAGGUUAGUUGGGGUGUGGGGCCACCUGCUGGUCACCUGGUGAGUAUUCAGUAGAUGCCUACUGUGUGCCAGACCCUGAGGCAGCUGUGGUUCUGCCUAGGUGGAGGGGGAGACCACAACAUCAUAAUGAACAGCUGCCAUUUACUGAGUGCCUAUUGUAUGCCAGGACUAUGUGGGGGCUUUACCUGGAUCAUCUCACUUAGUCCUCACAGUCCCAUCUCACAGAUGGAGAAACUGAGCCCUCAGACUCUUAGCUGGAGGAGGUCAGAGGAAGGGAUGCUACUUUUGGCUGGGGACAAUCAUAGAGGGCUUCCAAGAGGUGGUGACACGUGAAUUUGAAGGGCAAAUUUGGAUAGACAAAGAUUUGGGAAAAGCGCAUUCCAGCUGACAGGUAUGGGGGAGGCAAGGCGAGGAGGCAGGAAUGGGAUGUGAAGAAUGGAGAACAAGUCUGUUUAACCGGUGAGAGGCAGGAGGUUGCUCAUUUCCUCAUCCCAUCUCCUGUAGGUAGUCAGGGUGGGGACUUUAGGGGUGAGACAGUGGGUACCUGGUGGCAGCUUCUCUCCCUUAGUGCUCCCAGGCCAAUCUCAUGUGUGGAGGAUGCAUUCCCUCCUCCCCAUAUCCACAUCUGCCUCCCCUAGAGAUACACCCGGCUCUUGAUGCUGGUUUGUCCAACUAUCUGUCCACCUCCUCUUGCUGGUAUGGCCUUUUCAGGUGGCUCCAGAGUUGGAUCUUUUCACACUGGGCUCCCUGCACCCUCAGGAUGUGGCCUCUGCUUCCAGCAAAGCUAUUUUGUGUACUGGAUUUUCUCCUGAGAUUUAAUUUGAACAAGAGUUUAUGUGCUUUAAAAAGGUUUAUGGACCGUUGAACUAGACGCUUAACAUUUAUCUCAAAUCGUGCAGUAUGAUCCCAUUUUACAGACGGGAAACCGAGACUCAGCAUGACUAAGUACUUGCUGGGAUCCAUGGCUGGGCUCUGAUAUGAAAAAAUGGCUUCAAGAUUGUCCUUUCUCCCACUGUCCUCAAAGGGUCCAGACUUCAUGCAGACAGGCAGAGAAGAGCCACCUGCACGGUCUGAUGGGCUGCAACAGGUGCUAAUAAGGAGAGCAGAGAUGAUGGGGUGAUCGUGGCUCUCUUAGGCAGGGUUGUUUUCCUCUUUCUGGUGGGGGUUUGAGAGAAAGUUGGGACAAAGAGGAGGUGAUUGGGAUGGGGAGGUAUUGGGGAGGCACUGGGGAGUCUGCCUCAUCCCCAAAUACCUGCCCCUGAUGCAGCGGCUGUGUGGAUAAAGUAGAUUAUGCCCCCAGAUCCACUCCCAGCCUUCAGCUGUGGUCACAUCAAGCCAGAGAGACCAGCAAGCCGAUCCACCAUCAGACCUGGAAGAGAUCCUCUGUGCAGAGCAAGGUAGGCCCUUCAGCUGCCCUCUGGAGUAGCCCCCCAGUGUGGUGAACCUCCCUAGUGCAGCCUCACUUCCAGUUGAUGGGACCUCGACUCAUGGGCCAUGUGUCCCCACCAAAGAAAGGCCCAGUGAGUGAGGGGCUGGGCUACCCAGCUCUGGGUCUGGCCUGCUCCAGUUACACACUGGAGCCCAUGUUUUGAGCAUCUAGAGUGUGCCAGGAUGUCUCAUACGUGACCUCCUUCACUUUUCUGUCCUUCCAAUAGCUUUCUAAGCAGGGAUUAUGCCCAUCUCGCAGAUGAAGUCACUGAGGCUUGAGUAGCAUGGGGAUAAAGUGCCCAGUUUCCUCCAUGUGGUGAGUGGCAGGGCGGGGGGUCUGAAUCCGGGAGCAUGGGGCUCUAAGAUCCCCUCCCGAACAGAAAUGCUCUCCCUGCCCAAAGAAUCCCAACCCUGCCUGACCCUUCCCUGAUAUUGUAUGUCCCUGGCUGCCAGAGGAAGGGCCCUUGGUGGGGGGCUCCCAUGCUCUCUGGCCCCCAAACCUGAGUAGGGAGUGCCAGGCACCUCUCAGCAUGGUUUAAGGUCAAGGCAUUUCCCUGUGGCUGAGAUGGAAGUUGAGCUGGGUCACACAGCCUGGGGCCCCUUCCAGCUCUGCUCUGUGACCAUGGACAACUCCCUUAACUCCUCUGAGCCCAUCUCCUCAUUAGAACAUGUGGACAGUGACACCUGCCCCCUGGACCAUGAGACUGUGAAAGGUGAGGCACGAUGCCCUGAAGAGCUCUCAGCAUAUCAUAGGUCCUAGAAAAUGUCGCUUCACACAAAAGACUGUAGGGUUUGACGGUGUAUGGGGAAGUAUUGAGUGGAGGCUGAAAGCCUUCAGAAAGGAGGCUGUCUUCCCGGGAAAAGCUGCAGUCAGGGCCCCUGUCUGAGUGAGCUGCCCACCUGCCCUGGGGACCUCUCUCUCUGAACGUCCCUUUCAGGCCAGGGUCUAGUGGGCUGUGCAGCAGGGCUGGCCAGGGCUGCUGGGGAGACAGUGAGGCAGAGGAGGCAGCCAAGGCAGGUCCGAAGAACUACUCCGCACAGGGUCGUGAAGGUAUCCAGGGAAUGUGGGGCACAGGGCUAGUCACCACGCCAGCCAGAUGAGGGGAUGGGCUGACCUAGAGUGUCUUCUAUGGGCAAGCCUCCCUGGACCAUUGGCUGGGGCAACCUAAGCAGACAGAACUUCUUUAAUGACAGAGUCCAUAGCCAAAGUGGGGUGACAGACACGGACAGGAAGGUCAGGGAAGGUUUCCGAGAAGGGGAAUUCAGCUGAGGAAGAAUGACCAGAAGAAGUUGCUGUAAGAAGAACAAGAGGAAGGGUAUCGCAGAUGGAGGGAAUAGCAAGUGCAAAGGCCCUGGGGCUGAAAAGACCUUCAAGUAUCUGAGGAGCAAAAAUGAGUGCAACAUGCCUGGAGAGUGCUGCUCCAGCCUCUCUCGGACAGAAGUGAGUAUGUGGACUGCCUUAUGGGGCCCCAGGAAAUUGGGCUUUUUGGAGUGCCUUUCUAUAUGCUCUGCCACUGACCACCCAGAACAGGGUCCAACCUAGGGCUCAGGGCAGCUUGGCCAGAUGUGAAUCAACCCUUACGUGGCCCUUGACUCCCCAGAUAUGGCUUUAAUAUCUAAUCGUUGACGAUAAAUUGAACUCACUAAACUGUGGAUGCAAAGCUUGCUGGAGCUCUUAACAUCAGCAAAGCCAGUAGCUGUGUCUAUUUCCACACAGAGAAGAUGCAAUAAAAUAUAACUCACCUCUGGAGAUAGAUUCUGUAGAGCUAGGGCUCUGCCCUCUGGGCCCAGGAGAGAGGGGAUCAAUUCCUCUUGGUGAGCUCCUAUAAAUGGGGUUCAAGCUUAUUGGAAUUAUGUGAGUGCUCGGGUGGGAGAUCCUAGGGUGCGGGGUGUGCAGAGAUUCUUGGCAAUGACUAUGUACUAUAAUAUAAUCUCAGUCAGCAGGAGACAAGGCCCUCCUCUCUCCAGCACAUGAGUCAUACAGGCCAGGGGCCUGGGUUGGGAGCACUGUCAAGGGAUGAGUGGGCCUGACCCGGAAGGUUUUCUUUCUUCUGUUAUUCUGAUGGUCAGGUGGGUUUUCUCAGAGAGCUAAUUCUGCGGAAUAAAUCCUGCCCACCUGAAGCUGGGAGGGGUGCCUGGAGUAGGCAAAGAUGGCUGUAGAUGGGAAGAGGUUUGGGAGAAAGACAGGUACCCAGGUUCUGCCCUCCGGAAGGAAGGUGGUCAGAGGUCAGCUGAUUUGCCCAAGGUCAUACAAGGUUAGUAUAGUAAUGGAGCUGUGAACAAAAGAAAGCUCCCUGGAGAUGGCCCUAAAUUGGGGGGUAGAGGAGGAGGGCAUCAGGACUGGAGGGGCCUAGAAGAGCUUGCGGGUUCCAGCUUCAGGGCUUCUGAUGUCUCCUCUUCAGAGUACAAUUACCUCGAGGGAAAAGUGGUAACUCUUGGGCCUCUGCACUUUCUCCCCUCUGUGUGUGACUUCCUGGACCGGCCAAACCCAGCCCUCCAAGGAUGGGAGUGGAUCCUGAAGCAGUGAAAAUCAACACAGGUGUGGUUCUGACAUGGCUUUGAGAGCUGGAAUGGAUGAAUAGAUAGAACCUGGGAAGGUCAGAGCUGGAAAGUGCCUUACUGCAUUUAACUCCCGUUUUAUGAGUAAAUAGAGGCUCACAAGCCAGCCUCUCAGCCUAACUGUCUGCCCCCCACAUGAAGUCGCCCUAUCUGCUAGCUUCCCUGGCCUCAGAGUUCCCUCUCAGGUCUUCGUGGCUCUCACCUGCUGCAGAGCUGUUUUCCAUUUUUGCUUGUUCCUAAAUAGGACUUUAUCAGUGACUGUGCCUGGGGCCUCCAUGGCUCUUAAUUAGGCUUCCUUGAGUUUCCUUUGCAGAGGCCUUUGGGUGAGGGGAGUGUUAGUGCUUCCAGUGCAUAGAGAGCCUGGAGGCGUGAAGGGUGGGGCUUUCAGGCCCCAUCUCUGCCCUGUGCAGGUCUGCUGGAGCCCAGGGGGCUUCGAGUCUGAGACCUCUGGCUCCUGGCUGGCUGCUGCUGUUCCCCCUUCUGCCUGGACUGGGGCUGCCUGAAGGCUGGACACACACAAAGGAUUUCCCGGCUGUGCCCUGAGGAUGGGGAGGGGCUGCAGCUGUGGAAAUGUUGGGAGCCAUGGCCCAUUUGAUCUGGAAUCCCCGCUCUCUGGCUGGAGAUGUGACUUCUCUCUCCGGCUCCUUCUGUUCUUCUGGGUGAAGACCAGGAUGUCGUCACAGAAUCAGGGCUGUGGAGGUCAUGAGAGGAGAGUCGGGGCUUUGCUUGGUCUUGGGACUCGAUGGGACUUCUGGAAGGCUCAAGUGGCAUGGCCUCUGGGCAGGCGCCCCUCUGCAAGGGUGACUGGGACUGUGGCUGGAUGCUCAGGGACAGCUCAGGGUGACUCCCAUGUUCUGCAGAAAGUUGAAGGUCAGCCCCUCUUUUCCGGUAUCGAGAAGGGCUUUUGGUGUCAGGAAACACCUGGAGCUGGAGCUGGCGUCUGGCUGCUGUGCAUGAUCUUGGACAAGUUUCUUCCUCUCUUUGGAAUCUCAAUUUCCUUGCUGUAAAACGGCCACAGUGAUGCUCACAGGGUUCUCAGGAGGACUCAGAGCCUGCUGCUUCGAGAGUUGAGGUACGCCAACUGAGCUGGAGGGAGUGGUGGGCCCUGGACCAUUUAUAGUGUGAAGAGGGUAGUAGGAGGUGGAGGGGAGGAGGCAUUUGAUCUGACACAGAGGGUCGGGGCAGCCAGGAGGCCAGAGGCUCCUAUGCCCUGCCACGGCUUUUGCAGUACAGACAUUGAAGGUUGUCUGCCACUUAUGCAGAAGAGUUUCUAAGAAUCAAAAGUUUAGGGUCCAGGGAGCCAGAAGAAAACAGUGUUGGGAGGCCAGCAGCCAGCCUGGAGGAAGGAGAGUACAGGUGGAGGAGGAAGGAGAUGGAUUCCUUUUCUCCAAAGGCCACACAUGCACUCCUGAACAUGUCAUCCCUCAGACUUUGGGUAUUGGGAAGUUAUUCUCCCACCGGCUGCCUCCAGGACCAGUUGACAGGGAUGAGAAAGCUUCAGAUUUGGUGAGGGCCAAGGGCCACCUCCCAAGCACAAAACAAACCCUCAGGGUACCACCUGGUCCUAGGCCCAAGGACAGAAAGCCUUCAGCUCCCUGUUCCAGCCUCAUCCCCUGGUAGUCUUGGUUCAUCUGCCCAAGCAUAGCUCUAUACCUACUCCUGCUUUCCAGGGCUGAGACUCUGAGUCCAGUAGUCAAGGCCUGGCUUGGACCUGAUGAAUGAAUCAGAUCAAAUACAUGCAGUUUUCUCCCAGGCCUGAUUUAUCCAACCCCUCCAGACCACAUCCACAUUGCAUCUGAGUCCACACCUUGGUUUCCAUAAGGAACAGCAUUGGGUCUAUGAUGGGCUUUAAGAACAGACCAUAGGUUUGUCAAUUGGCCACCAUUAGAGUCAAACAAGUAGCUCCCAAAGUUUGAUUCUUUGGUAUAAUUUAUAUAAAGUAAAAUCUUAAAUGUAAAAUUAGAUAAUUUUAAACUAAUGUAUAUACCCAUGUAACCAGGAUCCCAGUCAGGAUAUAGAACAUUUCCAUCACCUCAGAAAGUCCCCAGUAACCCCCCAUCACAGAAUGCUGAUCUGAUUUCUAUCAUCAUAGGUGAAACCUCCAUGAAGAGUGCCCCCCUUGGGGCUUCCCUGGUGGCGCAGUGGUUGAGAAUCUGCCUGCCAAUGCAGGGACACGGGUUCAAUCCCUGGUCCGGGAAGAUCCCACAUGCCGCGGAGCAACUAAGCCCGUUUGCCACAACUAUGGAGCCUGCACUCUAGAGCUCAUGAGCCACAACUACUGAGCCCGCGUGCUGCAACUACUGAAGCCCGCGUGCCUAGAGCCCGUGCUCUGCAACAAGAGAAGCACCGCAAUGAGAAGCCCAGGCACCGCAAUGAAGAGUAGCCCACGCUCACCGCAACUAGAGAAAGCCCGCACGCAGCAACGAAGACCCAACUCAGCCAAAAAUAAAUAAAUAAAAUAAGUAAAUUUAUUAAAAAAAAAAAAGAGUGCCCCCCCUUUACUCCUGAGCCGUGUUCAAUCAGACUCAUCCUCUGUGAUCUUGCCUCCUUAGCUGAGCCUUCCUGGAUUUUUCUGGUCUACUUGGCCCCCCUGCCUCUGAAUGUCUGUAGCAUUUAUAGUCUACAGGGGCUCUUUCAAAGGGUCCUCAAUAAGUAGUCCCUUGUCCCCCACCCAGCUUCUGAAGAACUCGAAAAAUAAAA